rnacentral:lncRNA from 1 species
UCCCAUUGUAUAUGUGGAACAGAGAUGGGUGGUGCUAUUGUAUAGAGAUGGUCCUAUUGUGUGUGUGGAACAGAGAUGGGUGGUCCUAUUGUAUAGGUGGAACAGAGAUGGGUGGUCCUAUUGUAUAGGUGGAACAGAGAUGGGUGGUCUUAUUCUAUAGAGAUGGUCCUAUUGCAU